rnacentral:sRNA from 1 species
AGAAGGGAAAGUGAAGAUGGGGAGGUGGUCCGGGUGAGAAGCGGUUUCUGAAUCAGAAGGAAAGGAAAGAGACCCUUUCUAGGCUUUGAUUGUCUUUGGCGAGGGCUGGGGGUUCUGGUGGUUUUGGGGAAAGGAAUUGUGCACUUAGAGAGGACGACGCUAGAAGAAUGCAGGCCUUGGGUGGCAUCCUCAGAUUCUGGGGAAUGUGAGGGCUUCAUGCAUUUACCAGGCUCGUGCCAACGCCCCGGUUUUGCAAGCUGGCCCCUCGUGAGUGGCUUGGAACUGGGGGAAGGGUAUGACUUUAAUUUCUGAAGCGGAUGGUAGAGAAGAGAGAAAGUGUUGAAAAAUGACAUCGUUACCAUUCUUAAAAGGUGUUUCCAAGCCAGGACCCCCUAGAUCGAGCAGAUUUCAAUGCUGUUGAGUAUAUCAAUACCCUGUUCCCAACUGAGCAAUCUCUGGCGAACAUAGACGAAGUCGUGAACAAAAUUAGGCUGAAAAUAAGGAGACUGGAUGACAAUAUUCGAACCGUUGUAAGAGGUCAGACGAACGUGGGGCAGGAUGGACGGCAA